rnacentral:rRNA from 1 species
UACGGAGGGGGCUAGCGUUGUUCGGAAUUAUUGGGCGUAAAGGGCGCGUAGGCGGCCGGACAAGUCGGGUGUGAAAUCCCUCGGCUCAACCGAGGAACUGCAUUCGAUACUGUCUGGCUCGAGUCCGGGAGGGGAUGGUGGAAUUCCCAGUGUAGCGGUGAAAUGCGUAGAUAUUGGGAAGAACACCGGUGGCGAAGGCGACCAUCUGGACCGGAACUGACGCUGAGGCGCGAAAGCCAGGGGAGCAAACGGG